rnacentral:tRNA from 1 species
UCCCCGGUCGUCUAAUGGUAGGACAGCGGCCUUUGGAGCCGUGAAUCCUGGUUCGAGUCCAGGCUGGGGAGCCA